CAGCAGCCGCGGGAAUACGUAGGGUGCAAGCGUUAAUCGGAAUUACUGGGCGUAAAGCGUGCGCAGGCGGUUAUAUAAGACAGAUGUGAAAUCCCCGGGCUCAACCUGGGAACUGCAUUUGUGACUGUAUAGCUAGAGUACGGCAGAGGGGGAUGGAAUUCCGCGUGUAGCAGCGAAAUGCGUAGAUAUGCGGAGGAACACCGAUGGCGAAGGCAAUCCCCUGGGCCUGUACUGACGCUCAUGCACGAAAGCGUGGGGAGCAAACAGGAUUAGAUACCCCAGUAGUCCCUGUCUCUUAUAC
rnacentral:rRNA from 1 species